rfam:Trichinella pseudospiralis scaffold1s, whole genome shotgun sequence.
CCAACGGCCCUUUUGAGGGCCAGUUCCUAUUUUAAUACCUAAAUAUU